rnacentral:lncRNA from 1 species
UACCUACCUCUUCCCCCCGAGGGGGAUAUAGGGGGGAAACGUACCUACAACCUCCCCCCGAGGGGGACAUAGGGGGUAACGAUCCAGCUUUUUAAAGAAUGAGUUUUUAACCGGUUUUUAUCCACCGGAUUUGCACCGGUGGCUUUCAAACCUGAUUUAUUGCUCGAUUUUCUUUAAUAAAAAAUCGAGUUUUAAACUCUCAAGGGUGCCCCCACCGGGGGCCUCUUCCACAUGGGUUUAAUCCUUCUUUUCGGGCCGAGGAACAAAAUACUAUGUCUGACUCUGUCAGCCUUAGAGGGUCUAAUCUUCGUUUCUACUAAAACAGCAAUCUGCGGUUUAUGAUUCCUAAUUUAUGUCUUGAUAUCAACUCGCUUCAGGGCAACCACAACCUAACUUGCACGAUAUUCAACAACAGAUCACCAAAUAACUGCGGCUAAAAGUUUUCAGACUUGGCCCAAUUUAGGGAGCACUUGGGCCAUGUCUGCCACCUUGACAUUUUAGUUUUUUGCCUUAAACUUGCUAUUAUUUUUUUAACAUUGUUGUUGACAACACUCGAUCCCUACUUUUAUAUUUUGUAUAGUCAUCAAUAUGACUCUUUACUUCCCAUGGCUAUGCUUGCUAUUCUAGUCAAAACAUUUUCGACUAUCAUUUUACUCAUCCAUCGCUUCAUGACAUCCUGUUAUUAUUUGAGCAUAUCCUCAACUAGGUAAUCACUUGGGUUCCCCACUCUCUCUCUAGUUGAAUCAUGUCUACAAUACACGAAAAUAAUCAAUAAGCCUGAAUGGGAUCGAUUAACAUUGCUGGAAAUCACAGUCCUCAGAGGAUGUUGAAAAGUACAGCAGAAUCAUAGGAAGAAUUUGAGGCAUGACACGAGGCAGUUCUCCCCGCUGUAGGAUAUGCACUGCAUAUUUUCUGCCCCAAUAAUGCUUUUAUCUAACUUAUUCUACCCCAAUCAUGAAUCUCAUCAUAUGUGUGUAUAUUCAUGAUGCUCUCACCGAUUUUUACGCUGACCAGGUUUUUUUUCCAUCAAUGAAGAGCCACAUUACUCAUUUGUGACGAAUUAUACUGACCUGGGAGGCGCAGUUCACCAGUAUACGCUUCAGCACCGAAGGAUUCUUAGCAUCUCUCUUUCCUUGGCUCAUAGAAACACUACAGAAGGAGAAACAGGUAGAAUAAAAUAGAACACAAUAUCAGUUCGGGAAAAUCAUUCUGUCGAACCACGCUGCACAGCUUUUCCCAGAAAGAGAGAGAGAGAGAGAGAGAGAGAGAGAGAGAGAGAGCAACAACAGGAAUCGCCCCUGAAAUCACCCGUCUCAGGGCAAAAACAACAACAGAUGACCAUGGAAGAAGAAAACGACCCCCGAUCAGAGGGUGUGAACAAGAACAACGGGAAUCCCCAAGAAUCACCCGACCAAAGAUCGACUAGGAAAAUGACAGGGCGCAUCAGGAAAAUAAAACUAUCAGGAAAAACGUCGGGGCCCCUUGGAGCAACCCAGAGGCUUGCCAGAGAGGAAAUGGACGGAGAGGGCCCGUGUCAACAAAGACAAUAGAUAACCUCUUGAAUCACGAAACUCUGGACCCAUCGGCAAAGAUGCUCAUCCACGGAUUCAAAGUCGAACAAUUCAGAGGCUCACCUCCCAGAUUCGGUCCUCCUUCGCCGUCCUCUCCAGACCCAAAUCCGCCGGAGUGAGACUGCAGAUCCUCCGUCCUCAGUGAGGCUCCCCCCCACCUUCCUCCUACCUUCCGGUCGCCGGGCUUCCCGGGAAGUCCAAAUACCCGUUGGCCCAAGACGGAGAGCGUUUGGAAC